UACGGAGGAUCCGAGCGUUAUCCGGAUUUAUUGGGUUUAAAGGGAGCGUAGGCGGGUUGUUAAGUCAGUUGUGAAAGUUUGCGGCUCAACCGUAAAAUUGCAGUUGAUACUGGCAUCCUUGAGUACAGUAGAGGCAGGCGGAAUUCCUAGUGUAGCGGUGAAAUGCGUAGAUAUUAGGAGGAACACCAGUGGCGAAGGCGGCCUGCUGGGCUUUUACUGACGCUGAGGCUCGAAAGUGUGGGGAGCAAAAAGG
rnacentral:rRNA from 1 species